UACGUAGGGGGCAAGCGUUGUCCGGAAUCAUUGGGCGUAAAGAGCGUGUAGGCGGUCCGAUAAGUCCGCUCUGAAAGCCCGGGGCUCAACCCCGGGAGGCGGGCGGAUACUGUCGGGCUAGAGUCCGGAAGAGGCAAGUGGAAUUCCUGGUGUAGCGGUGAAAUGCGCAGAUAUCAGGAGGAGCACCGAUGGCGAAGGCAGCUUGCUGGGACGGUACUGACGCUGAGACGCGAAAGCGUGGGGAGCAAACAGG
rnacentral:rRNA from 1 species